AGAGAAAUCUGCUAUUUCAAGCAUGUAGGCUCAUAACCUACCAAAGGGAAUUACCCUUUCUCUG
rnacentral:tRNA from 1 species